CCUACGGGAGGCAGCAGUGAGGAAUAUUGGUCAAUGGACGAGAGUCUGAACCAGCCAAGUAGCGUGAAGGAUGACUGCCCUAUGGGUUGUAAACUUCUUUUAUAUGGGAAUAAAAUGUGCCACGUGUGGGAUUUUGUAUGUACCAUAUGAAUAAGGAUCGGCUAACUCCGUGCCAGCAGCCGCGGUAAUACGGAGGAUCCGAGCGUUAUCCGGAUUUAUUGGGUUUAAAGGGAGCGUAGGUGGAUUGUUAAGUCAGUUGUGAAAGUUUGCGGCUCAACCGUAAAAUUGCAGUUGAAACUGGCAGUCUUGAGUACAGUAGAGGUAGGCGGAAUGCGUGGUGUAGCGGUGAAAUGCUUAGAUAUCACGAAGAACUCCGAUUGCGAAGGCAGUUCACUGGACUGCAACUGACACUGAGGUUCGAAAGUGUGGGUAUCAAACAGGAUUAGAUACCCUUGUAGUC
rnacentral:rRNA from 1 species